rnacentral:rRNA from 1 species
CCUACGGGAGGCAGCAGUGAGGAAUAUUGGUCAAUGGACGAGAGUCUGAACCAGCCAAGUAGCGUGAAGGAUGACUGCCCUAUGGGUUGUAAACCUCUUUUAUAUGGGAGUAAUAUGUUCCUCGUGAGGGAUUUUGUAUGUACCAUGUGAAUAAGGAUCGGCUAACUCCGGGCCAGCAGCCGCCGUAAUACGGAGGAACCGAGCGUUAUCCGGAUUUAUUGGGGUUAAAGGGAGCGUAGGUGGAUUGUUAAGUCAGUUGUGAAAGUUUGCGGCUCAACCGUAAAAGUGCAGUUGAAACUGGCAGUCUUGAGUACAGGAGAGGUGCGCGGAAUUCGUGGUGUAGCGGUGAAAUGCUUAGAUAUCACGAAGAACUCCGAUUGCGAAGGCAGUUCACUGGACUGCAACUGACACUGAGGCUCGAAAGUGUGGGUAUCAAACAGGAUUAGAUACCCGAGUAGUC